ensembl:lncRNA
UUACUUUGACAAUUCAAUAUUUAAUGGUUCAAGUAAAAUUACAUGUAUGGAAGGUCAUUUUUUCUUAGAUUUUGAUGGGAUAUUUUACAAAGGCAUGACAACACAGAGUUGAUCAAUACUAUACUGCUGGCAAACAUUUAAGCUUUCUCUCCAAGCAACCUUGAACCUGUACCCACCAAUGACUAAUUUACAAGCAUAUAUAUUAUAUAGCAGGUAUUUCAUAUAUAGAUUUUAUACAAGAUACAUGUGUACAUAAAAUAUUCUGGCAAGGUUCAUGCCAGUAUACAUACACACAAAAAUGCACACACACACACUCGCUGCACACACACACACUCACCAAUAUAUGCAUAUGUAGCCAUUUACAUUACAGCAGAGAUUGUCGUCUCAUUGUUUUACAUUUAAUUUGCUUUUGAUUCUCUUUUUUCAUGACUGAAUUCAGGUGACUAAACCUUUACUCAACAAUAUAUAAACCAAUCUUGUUGGAUGCCACCUUGUCAAUUCUUCUCAAAGGUACUGUUCUGUACAAUAUUAAAACAAAACAAAUCACAAAGGUGAUGUGAUAUUUAUCUUGUGUGUACAUGCCUCAUAUUCAUUACACGUUUGAAAUAGAUUUUUUUUGUGUGUUUGUUAGCCACGUAUUGUUAAUUGCCUCAAAAGGGAUAUAUGGUUAUAACAACACAAUUGGUCGAUGAUGGCCACAUGACAACACAAAUCCAUCUGUUACACGUUAAAACAACUUAGGAGCAUAGCAAGCUAGUGAUAAAAAAAUGGGUAAAAAUGGCCCACAUGCAGAUGAUGAUGCAAAAUAACAUCCCAAUGAAAUUCUUUUAUAAUAAAAAAAAAAACUUUUAUUUUUUUUGUAAAAAAAAAAAAAACAUUCGUAGAGAAAUAAAUGAUUUUGGAAAACCGACGGGUGACGUUGUUUCUAUCACUAUGGUUACGGCGACCUGGGAGCUGGAUUUUUAGAAAAGUAGAAAAAAAAUACUAGAGGAGGAAAACAACGCACAUGACUCUCUACUAAUCAUUUAAGUUCUGUGGAAGUUUAUCUCACCAUCUUCCUUUUUUUUGGUUCAUAUGUGAAACCUUUGGCACAAAGCGAAACUGACCUAAAGUGAUCACCCCCUCCUGAAAGACACAUUUACCUUUAAACUGCAUUCCAUUUCUUUAACAAAUGCAGACAUCUGUAACUCUAAGUCAUGGAUGAGCAAACAAAUGGGGAAUUCCAAAUAACAAAAUAACAAAAAUGCCACCUGUUUUUUGAAUAUUUGAAAAUUAUAUCCUAUUUAUUGUUCUACAUUGCCUAAACAUUUUUUUUUUAAAUUUCAAAUAAUUUAUGUGCAUGACAAAUGGCACCCUAUUUCCUACAUAGUGCACUACUUUUGACGAGAGCCCUAUGGGCCCUGGUUAAAUGUAGUGCACUAAAUAGGGAAUAGGGUGCCAUUUGGGAAUCGACCCUGUGUUAUCUCCUUAGGUGUUGUUGAUGGAAAUUCAUUAAACUUUCAGGUUUUCUUCUGAAAGAAGUGUUGAUUAUUUUGACUCUCGAUGACAGUGAUAUAAUGAAACAUUUUAAGUCUCAAGCAUUUACCUAUCCCCAUCUGUUUUGUGUGAUCAAUAUUGACAUAGGAACAUUCUGUCCAUCUGUGUUGCUCUGUAUGAGCGUGAAACAGAGGCAUCUAUGUACAUAAUAUGUACACUGAACAAAAAUAUCAACGCAACAUACAACAAUUUCAACGAUUUUACUGACUUACAGUUCAUACAUGGAAAUCAGUCAAUUUAAAUGAAUUCAUUACAUCCUAAUCUAUGGAUUUCACAUGACUGGGAAUACAGAUCGGUUGGUCACAGAUACCUAUAAAAAAAAAAGUAGGGGUGUGGAUCAGAAAACCAGUCAGUAUCUGGUGUGACCAUUUUCCUCAUGCUGCGUGACACAUCUCCUUUGCAUAGAGUUGAUCAGGCUGUUGAUUGUGGCCUGUGGAAUGACUGUGCGAAGUUGCUGGAUAUUGAUGGGAAUUUGGAACAUGCUGUUGUACACGUCAAUACUGAGCAUUCCAAACAUGCUCAAUGGAUAACAUGUCUGGUGAGUACACAGGUCAUGGAAGAACUGGGACAUUUUCAGCUUCCAGAAAUUGUGUAGAGAUCCUUGCGACAUGUGGCUGUGCAUCAUCAUGCUAAAACAUGAGUUGAUGAACGGGCCACAGGAUAUCUCAUCACGUUAUCUCUGUUUAUUCAAAUCGCCAUUGAUAAAAUGCAAUUGUGUUCAUUGUCCAUAGCUUAUUCAUGCCCAUACCAUAACCCCACCACAACCAUAGGGCACUCUGAUCACAAUGUUGACAUCAGCAAACCUCUCGAUCACAUGACGCCAUACACGCUGUCUGCCAUCUUCCCAGUACGGUUUAAAGCGUGAUUCACCCAUGAAGAGCACACAUCUCUAGUGUGCCAGUAACCAUCGAAGGUGAUCAUUUGCCCACUGAAGUUGGUUACGAAGCCAAACUACUGUCAGGUCAAGACCCUGGUGAGGACGAUGAGCACACAGAUGAGCUUCCCUGAGAUGGUUUCUGACAGUUUGUGCACAAAUUCUUUGGUUGUGCAAACCCACAGUUUCAUCAGCUGUCUGGGUGGUGGGUCUCAGAUGAUCCUGCUUUUGAAGAAGCUGGAUGUAGAGGUCCUGGGCUGGCAUGGUUACACGUGGUCUGCGGUUGGACAUAAUGCCAAAUUCUCUAAAGUGACGUUGGACUCGGCUUAUGGUAGAGAAAUUGACAUGACAUUUUCUGGCAUCAACUCUGGUGGACAUUCCUGCAGUCAGCAUAACAAUUGCACGGCCCCUCAAAACUUCAGACAUCUGAGGCAUUGUGUUGUGUGACAAAACUGUACAUUUUAGAGUGGCCUUUUAGAGUGGCCUCCCCAGCACAAGGUGCACCUGUGUAAUGAUCAUGCCGUUUAAUCAGCUUCUUGAUAUGCCACACCUGUCAAGUGGAUGGAUUAUCUUGGCGAAGGAGAAGUGCUCAAUAACAGCGAUGUAAACAAAGUUGUGCCAUAAAUUUGGGAGAAAUUAGCUUUUUGUGCAUAUGGAACAUUUCAGGGAUCUUUUAUUUCAGCUCAGGAAAUAUGGGACCAACAUUGUACAUGUUGCGUUUAUAUUUUUGUUCAGUAUAUAUACUGUAAGUAUAUUGUGUGAUUUUGUGUGUUUCAGUCGUUGUUAAGUGUCAAUAUUAUCGUUCUACAGCAUAUGCAGUUGGAAUGUUACUGAAUCACACGUCACACAUUGGCAGGCCUGUGUUCACUGUCACUGUCUGAAGGAAGCAAGUGCUUUGUGAUUUGUUUGCAUAUGUCAGUGUACUCUGUCCUGUCUGUAGUUGUUGUCUUUGAUGAAAGACAAAUGUGUUUAACAUUUAACUGCAGUGAGGAGCUGUUUCAGGAUGACAUAGAAGGAAAUCAUUACUCCGCAAAAAAGGAAUUGAUAUCCAAUUCAUGAUUGGGACUUGGUUGGGCAGUAGGUUAACCGUGUUCAAUGAGUAGGAUUUAUUCAAUUCAUUAAUACAAAUUCAAUACAUUUCCUUAAUUGACCAGAAGUGAGAUGAAAUUGACCCUGACCUUGACCCUUCCACAUAACACUCUUAUGACACACGUAAUUUCACAAACCCCGGCUUCGCUAAUGCAUUUCUACACUGAUGGAUACCUGACCCGAAAUGUAAUCUGAAUGCAAGCAGAGUCUCAACCAAGCGCAGACACACUUUACUGUCUAACCCUGCAGGGAGAAUGGUACCCUAAACAUGUCCUGUUA